AAAAAAUAAAUAUAUUUGGGGUUACAAAGCCCAAUAUCCCUAUGGUCCAAAAAACAGAAAAAAUGGAAAAUAAUUAAUAGUAAUAUGGGGAAAUGGGAAAACACAGGAUCCCAGACUUGGCGUUUGACUAAAUUAGUUGUAAACGGCAUGCCGUUAAUAACGUCGAAUGAUUCGUGCUCUUCUUUCGUAGAAUCUGGCUUCAUGGAUUUGUAUCUAUGAUCGAGUUUCAAUGCUGUUCUACAGAUAGCUUCCUUCUAUACUAUCUGAAAUACGAAUCAAGGAGAGCGUCACUUGCAUGUUCAUCUGUUUCUAUAAAUGCAGUUAUUUUCCUGGAUUCAGAAGUGAUACCAUGCUCAUGGCUGUGAUGAUAAAUACAAAGUUAAUCAGCAUCUUGAGUUUUACCCUCCCAUUUUGUAAUCAUGUUGGUCUCGAAAAUUUAUCCAUAGUCAGUAUUUCUGUUGUGAUAAGCAGUCUAUCUAAACAUAGUGCCAGUAUGUGAUCGAGCAGCAGGUGGCACACGUGUUUGUGAAUGAUUAUGAGGAUGGAAAUGUUUUAAUCCAAACUUAUGGUCAUGAUUUUGAUGGUUCCAUGUGAAUAAAUGUACACCUGUAGCAGUAUGAUUGACUAAUGAUUUUAAUAGGAUCCACUGUAACAGAUCAUGGCAUGGUGUUGUUAUGAUUUGGUGACUGGCAACUGAUAGUUGUGUUACUUAUCAUGUUUUUUAUAAGAUGGCCCUGUUUAAGGGAUGAAGAUGGUUACAUUAUAUUGGAUAUAAUGAGAAGAUGGUUGAAGUAAGAUUAUAUAAUAA